rnacentral:rRNA from 1 species
UACAUAGGGAGCAAGCGUUGUCCGGAAUUAUUGGGCGUAAAGCGCGCGUAGGCGGUUAUCUAAGUCGGAUGUGAAAGCCCUCGGCUUAACUGAGGAAGUGCACCCGAAACUGGGUAGCUAGAGUACUAAAGAGGGUCGCGGAAUUCCCGGUGUAGAGGUGAAAUUCGUAGAUAUUCGCAAGAACACCAGUGGCGAAGGCGGCUUACUGGUCCGGUUCUGACGCUGAGGCGCGAAAGCGUGGGGAGCAAACAGG